GAUGAACGCUGGCGGCGUGCUUAACACAUGCAAGUCGAACGGGAAAUAUUUCAUUGAGACUUCGGUGGAUUUGAUCUAUUUCUAGUGGCGGACGGGUGAGUAACGCGUGGGUAACCUGCCUUAUACAGGGGGAUAACAGUCAGAAAUGGCUGCUAAUACCGCAUAAGCGCACAGAGCUACAUGGCUCAGUGUGAAAAACUCCGGUGGUAUAAGAUGGACCCGCGUUGGAUUAGCUGGUUGGUGGGGUAACGGCCCACCAAGGCGACGAUCCAUAGCCGGCCUGAGAGGGUGAACGGCCACAUUGGGACUGAGACACGGCCCAGACUCCUACGGGAGGCAGCAGUGGGGGAUAUUGCACAAUGGGGGAAACCCUGAUGCAGCGACGCCGCGUGAAGGAAGAAGUAUUUCGGUAUGUAAACUUCUAUCAGCAGGGAAGAUAGUGACGGUACCUGACUAAGAAGCCCCGGCU
rnacentral:rRNA from 1 species